CAGUAGCCGCGGUAAAACGAGGGGAGCUAGCGUUAUUCGGAAUUACUGGGCGUAAAGCGCACGUAGGCGGCUUUGUAAGUUAGAGGUGAAAGCCCAGAGCUCAACUCUGGAAUUGCCUUUAAGACUGCAUCGCUUGAAUCCAGGAGAGGUGAGUGGAAUUCCGAGUGUAGAGGUGAAAUUCGUAGAUAUUCGGAAGAACACCAGUGGCGAAGGCGGCUCACUGGACUGGUAUUGAUGCUGAGGUGCGAAAGCGUGGGGAGCAAACAGGAUUAGAUACCCCAGUAGUCCGUCUCUUAUACAC
rnacentral:rRNA from 1 species